rnacentral:rRNA from 1 species
CAGUAGCCGCGGGAAUACGUAGGUGGCAAGCGUUGUCCGGAAUUAUUGGGCGUAAAGGGCUCGCAGGCGGUUUCUUAAGUCUGAUGUGAAAGCCCCCGGCUCAACCGGGGAGGGUCAUUGGAAACUGGGAAACUUGAGUGCAGAAGAGGAGAGUGGAAUUCCACGUGUAGCGGUGAAAUGCGUAGGGAUGUGGAGGAACACCAGUGGCGAAGGCGACUCUCUGGUCUGUAACUGACGCUGAGGAGCGAAAGCGUGGGGAGCGAACAGGAUUAGAUACCCGUGUAGUCCCUGUUUCUUAUAC